rnacentral:rRNA from 1 species
AGAUUAAGCCAUGCAUGUCUAAGCAUGAGCCGAACUAUGGUGAAGCCGCGAAUGGCUCAUUACAACAGCUGUUGUUUCUUGGAUCUCUACUUGGAUAACUGUGGUAAUUCUAGAGCUAAUACAUGCACUUAAGCUCCAACUGYAUGGGAGGAGCGCAUUUAUUAGACCAAGACCAAACAGGCUUUGUCUGGUGACUCUGAAUAACUUUGCUGAUCACACAGUCCUAGAACUGGUGACAUGUCUUUCUCUGCCCUAUCAACUUUCGAUGGUAGUUUAUGUGCCCCCCAUGGUGGUAACGGGUAACGGAGAAUAAGGGUUCGACUCCGGAGAGGGAGCCUGAGAAAUGGCUACCACAUCCAAGGAAG